GACGAACGCUGGCGGCGUGCUUAACACAUGCAAGUCGAACGAUGACGACCGAGCUUGCUCGGUCUGAUUAGUGGCGAACGGGUGAGUAACACGUGAGCAACCUGCCCUUCACUCUGGGAUAACCUCGGGAAAUCGGGGCUAAUACCGGAUAUGAGCUCCUGUCGCAUGGCGGGUGUGGGAAAGUUUUUCGGUGAAGGAUGGGCUCGCGGCGUAUCAGUUUGUUGGUGAGGUAGUGGAUCACCAAGGCGAUGACGGGUAGCCGGCCUGAGAGGGCGACCGGCCACACUGGGACUGAGACACGGCACAGACUCCUCCGGGAGGCAGCAGUGGGGAAUAUUGCACAGUGGGAGAAAGCCUGAUGCAGCGACGCCGCGUGAGGGAUGACGGCCUUCGGGUUGUAAACCUCUUUCAGCAGGGAAGAAGCGAAAGUGACGGUACCUGCAGAAGAAGCGCCGGCUAACUACGUG
rnacentral:rRNA from 1 species